GGAGCCAUCUUGCGCUUUUCCUUUUUUCUUUUUUUUUUUUUUUAUCCUCUUCGUUGAUGGGGAUCGUUUUCGGCACCGUUAAUAUCGUUUUAUGGAAGUGAGACACGUUUAACACAGAAACCGGUGAGAAUUAGGAUGCUUAUUGUAUUCUAUUUGACAACAUUACCUUGCAUUACUGGUGAACGUAACAAGACUCAGAGCUGCACAUGCAAACCUCAACACUUGGUAAACCAAACGCGAUGAUUUCAACAAUCAACAGAUACUUUUUUUGAUCAUGAAUGAGUAAUUUUGAGAAGAAAAUGAACUUCAGACUUCACAAAACAAGAAGUUACUAAAUGACAACAAAAUCAACAAUAAAACAUGCACACAGUAAAACCAUGCAAGCUCAUUAAUUAAGCCCAGAACAUGCUGGUAACACCAGCUUCAAGAAGUUAAGUAAGAGUUACUUAUUUUAUAUACCUGUGAAUUUUUCUCAGAUUAGCAGAUAAAUAUGAUGAGGUUUUCUACUUUAGGGUUGAUGCAUUAUAACGCAUCGUAAAGAUAACAAAUAAUCAUAAAUAUGAUUUAUAUUUGACAUUUGUGUAUAUCAGAUGUUUAAAUUGUGCUGUGUUAAUUUGAUGUUAUUGUAAAUUGGUAUAUGUCUCAUCACUGUCACGACUGCUAUGUUGAUCGGAACUGCACCCAAGAAUUUCACACAUCAUUGCACUUGUGUAUAUGGCUGUGUGACAAUAAAGUGAUUUGAUUUGAUUUGAUAAAUAAUGUUUACUUAUGAGCUAGAGCAUUAAUGUUUUCAUGUUUGAAUUUUGUACAAAUGUAGAAUGUACUUAAUACUUUCGAGUUCACGCUUAAACUAACUUAUUUAAUGUAGCAAGUACUUAAUUUUUCUGCUAUAUUUCCUUUACCACAAAAACAUUUUCAUUAUAGUUAUGGUGAAGGCUCAGAAAUGCAGUUUUAAUUUAUGUAUAAUGUGCAAGCAAAUUAAAGGGCUACAUUAGUAUUUUAUUGUUAUUUGAUUAAAAAGACAUAAAACACAUGAAAUGAAUUACGUGUGAACACAAAAAGAUUUAAAUCACAAUGAGUCCUAUGAGCAGCAUGAAAAAUAUACAUUCCAAUAAAGUAAAGGUAAUAUAAUGUAAGCGAAACCUUAUUAAGUAUGUCAAUAAUCCAAAUAGGAUUUUAUCAGAACAUUUAAUUUCAGAACAAUUCAUCAGAUAAUGGUAAAUGGAAACAUUCUGUUAGAGAGAGGAGAAAAAUCUGAUCUCCAUGUUAAUGGUUAGUAUGGCUUACUAAAACACUGGCAACAAAUGGUGAAGAUGGAGGCCCAGCCAUACAAAUCUCCAAAAUGAGAGCAGGUAGAGAGUAAAUAAAGACACAUACACCAUCUGAGUUGUAGCUGCUCAUGACCCACAGCCUGAAGCAUAAAGGGGUUUGGUAUGGUAACAUCUAAAAUGAAUGUCUACAUAAGGGACACAGAAUAUUUCCAUCUAUCCAUAUAUAUAUAUAUAUAUAUAUAUAUAUAUAUAUAUAUAUAUAUAUAUAUAUAUAUUUUUUUUUUUUUUUUUA